AGGGUUUGAUCAUGGCUCAGAACGUACGCUGGCGGCACGCCUAACACAUGCAAGUCGAACGCAGUAGCAAUACUGAGUGGCAAACGGGUGAGUAUAAUGUGGGAAUCUGCCUUUUGGUUUGGAAUAACACGGGGAAACUUGUGCUAAUACCGAAUAAGCCCUUACGGGGAAAGUUUUAAUGCCGAAAGAUGAGCCCGCACUUGAUUAGCUAGUUGGUAAGGUAAAAGCUUACCAAGGCAACGAUCAAUAGCUGUUCUUAGAGGAAGACCAGCCACAUUGGGACUGAGACACGGCCCAGACUCCUACGGGAGGCAGCAGUGGGGAAUCUUGCACAAUGGGGGAAACCCUGAUGCAGCGAUGCCGCGUGAGUGAAGAAGGCCUUUGGGUUGUAAAACUCUUUCGUCGGGGAAGAAAAUGACUGUACCCGAAUAAGAAGGUCCGGCUAACUUCGUGCCAGCAGCCGCGGUAAUACGAAGGGACCUAGCGUAGUUCGGAAUUACUGGGCUUAAAGAGUUCGUAGGUGGUUGAAAAAGUUAGUGGUGAAAUCCCAGAGCUUAACUCUGGAACUGCCAUUAAAACUUUUCAGCUAGAGUAUGAUAGAGGAAAGCAGAAUUUCUAGUGUAGAGGUGAAAUUCGUAGAUAUUAGAAAGAAUACCAAUUGCGAAGGCAGCUUUCUGGAUCAUUACUGACACUGAGGAACGAAAGCAUGGGUAGCGAAGAGGAUUAGAUACCCUCGUAGUCCAUGCCGUAAACGAUGUGUGUUAGACGUUGGAAAUUUAUUUUCAGUGUCGCAGGGAAACCGAUAAACACACCGCCUGGGGAGUACGACCGCAAGGUUAAAACUCAAAUGAAUUGACGGGGACCCGCACAAGUAGUGGAGCAUGUGGUUUAAUUCGAAGAUACGCGCAGAACCUUACCAACACUUGACAUGUUCGUCGCGACUCUAAGAGAUUAGAGUUUUCGGUUCGGCCGGACGAAACACAGGUGCUGCAUGGCUGUCGUCAGCUCGUGUCGUGAGAUGUUGGGUUAAGUCCCGCAACGAGCGCAACCCUCACUUUUAGUUGCCAUCAUUAAGUUGGGCACUCUGAAAGAACUGCCAGUGAUAAGCUGGAGGAAGGUGGGGAUGACGUCAAGUCCUCAUGGCCCUUACGUGUUGGGCUACACACGUGCUACAAUGGUAUCUACAACAGGAAGCAAGACUGCGAAGUUAAGCAAAUCCCUAAAAGAUACCUCAGUUCGGAUUGCACUCUGCAACUCGAGUGCAUGAAGCUGGAAUUACUAGUAAUCGUGGAUCAGCGUGCCACGGUGAAUGCGUUCCCGGGUCUUGUACACACCGCCCGUCACACCAUGGGAGUUGGUUCUACCUUAAGGCAAGGUUUCAAACCCUUGACCACGGUAUAGUCAGCGACUGGGGUGAAGUCAUAACAAGGUAACCGUA
rnacentral:rRNA from 1 species